GGACGAACGCUGGCGGCGUGCUUAACACAUGCAAGUCGAGCGAUGAAGCUUCUUCGGAAGUGGAUUAGCGGCGGACGGGUGAGUAACACGUGGGUAACCUACCUCAUAGAGGGGAAUAGCCUUCCGAAAGGAAGAUUAAUACCGCAUAAGAUUGUAAUAUCGCAUGAUAUAGCAAUUAAAGGAGCAAUCCGCUAUGAGAUGGACCCGCGUCGCAUUAGCUAGUUGGUGAGGUAACGGCCCACCAAGGCGACGAUGCGUAGCCGACCUGAGAGGGUGAUCGGCCACAUUGGGACUGAGACACGGCCCAGACUCCUACGGGAGGCAGCAGUGGGGAAUAUUGCACAAUGGGGGAAACCCUGAUGCAGCCAACGCCGCGUGAGUGAUGACGGUCUUCGGAUUGUAAAGCUCUGUCUUCAGGGACGAUAAUGACGGUACCUGAGGAGGAAGCCACGGCUAACUACGUGCCAGCAGCGGC
rnacentral:rRNA from 1 species